rnacentral:rRNA from 1 species
GGUCAAGCGAACAAGUGCAUGUGGUGGAUGCCUUGGCGAUCACAGGCGAUGAAGGACGCGGUAGCCUGCGAAAAGCUACGGGGAGCUGGCAAACGAGCUUUGAUCCGUAGAUGUCCGAAUGGGGAAACCCACUCCUUAUGGAGUAUCCAUGACUGAAUACAUAGGUCAUGUGAAGCGAACGCGGUGAACUGAAACAUCUAAGUAACCGCAGGAAAAGAAAUCAACCGAGAUUCCCAGAGUAGUGGCGAGCGAAAUGGGACCAGCCUGUACUCUUUAUCUUCAUUGUUAGUCGAAGGCUCUGGAAAGUGCCGCCAUAGCAGGUGAUAGCCCUGUAGACGAAAACAGCGAGGAAGAACUGGGUGUACGACAAGUAGGGCGGGACACGUGAAAUCCUGUCUGAAGAUGGGGGGACCAUCCUCCAAGGCUAAAUACUCGUGAUCGACCGAUAGUGAACCAGUACCGUGAGGGAAAGGCGAAAAGAACCCCGGGAGGGGAGUGAAACAGAUCCUGAAACCGCAUGCAUACAAACAGUCGGAGCCUCUGCGAAGGGGUGACGGCGUACCUUUUGUAUAAUGGGUCAGCGACUUACAUUCAGUGGCAAGCUUAACCGAUUAGGGCAGGCGUAGCGAAAGCGAGUCCGAACAGGGCGUUCAGUCGCUGGGUGUAGACCCGAAACCAGGUGAUCUAUCCAUGGCCAGGAUGAAGGUGCGGUAACACGUACUGGAGGUCCGAACCCACUAACGUUGAAAAGUUAGGGGAUGAGCUGUGGAUAGGGGUGAAAGGCUAAACAAACCUGGAAAUAGCUGGUUCUCUCCGAAAACUAUUUAGGUAGUGCCUCGUGUAUCACCUUCGGGGGUAGAGCACUGUCAUGGUUGUGGGGUCCAUUGCGGAUUACUACGCCAUAGCAAACUCCGAAUACCGAAGAGUGCAAUCACGGGAGACAGACAUCGGGUGCUAACGUCCGGUGUCAAGAGGGAAACAACCCAGACCGCCAGCUAAGGUCCCCAAAUAUGGCUAAGUGGGAAACGAAGUGGGAAGGCUAAAACAGUCAGGAGGUUGGCUUAGAAGCAGCCAUCCUUUAAAGAAAGCGUAAUAGCUCACUGAUCGAGUCGUCCUGCGCGGAAGAUGUAACGGGGCUAAGCCAUAUACCGAAGCUGCGGAUGCACAUUUAUGUGCAUGGUAGGAGAGCGUUCCGUAAGCCUGCGAAGGUGCACUGGAAAGUGUGCUGGAGGUAUCGGAAGUGCGAAUGCUGACAUGAGUAGCGAUAAAGGGGGUGAAAGGCCCCCUCGCCGUAAGCCCAAGGUUUCCUACGCAACGUUCAUCGGCGUAGGGUGAGUCGGCCCCUAAGGCGAGGCAGAAAUGCGUAGCUGAUGGGAAGCAGGUUAAUAUUCCUGCACCAUUGUUGAAUGCGAUGGGGGGACGGAUCGCGGAAGGUUGUCCGGGUGUUGGAAGUCCCGGUCCUUGCAUUGGAGAAGGCGCUUUGGCAAAUCCGGGCGCGGAAUUCAAGGGUGUGAGGCCAGUCACUUCGGUGACGAAGCAAUCGGAAGUGGUUCCAGGAAAAGCCUCUAAGCUUCAGUUCAACAAGACCGUACCGCAAACCGACACAGGUGGGCGAGAUGAGUAUUCUAAGGCGCUUGAGAGAACUCGGGAGAAGGAACUCGGCAAAUUGGUACCGUAACUUCGGGAUAAGGUACGCCCCUGUAGCUUGACUGGCCUGCGCCAGGAGGGUGAAGGGGUUGCAAUAAACUGGUGGCUGCGACUGUUUAAUAAAAACACAGCACUCUGCAAACACGAAAGUGGACGUAUAGGGUGUGACGCCUGCCCGGUGCCGGAAGAUUAAAUGAUGGGGUGCAAGCUCCUGAUUGAAGUCCCGGUAAACGGCGGCCGUAACUAUAACGGUCCUAAGGUAGCGAAAUUCCUUGUCGGGUAAGUUCCGACCUGCACGAAUGGCGUAACGAUGGCCACACUGUCUCCUCCCGAGACUCAGCGAAGUUGAAGUGUUUGUGAUGAUGCAAUCUCCCCGCGGCUAGACGGAAAGACCCCAUGAACCUUUACUGUAGCUUUGCAUUGGACUUUGAACCGGUCUGUGUAGGAUAGGUGGGAGGCUGUGAAGCGUGGACGCCAGUCUGCGUGGAGCCAUCCUUGAAAUACCACCCUGAUCUGUUUGAGGUUCUAACCUUGGUCCGUAAUCCGGAUCGGGGACAGUGCAUGGUAGGCAGUUUGACUGGGGCGGUCUCCUCCCAAAGUGUAACGGAGGAGUACGAAGGUACGCUAGGUACGGUCGGAAAUCGUGCUGAUAGUGCAAUGGCAUAAGCGUGCUUAACUGCGAGACCGACAAGUCGAGCAGGUGCGAAAGCAGGUCAUAGUGAUCCGGUGGUUCUGUAUGGAAGGGCCAUCGCUCAACGGAUAAAAGGUACUCUGGGGAUAACAGGCUGAUACCGCCCAAGAGUUCAUAUCGACGGCGGUGUUUGGCACCUCGAUGUCGGCUCAUCUCAUCCUGGGGCUGUAGCCGGUCCCAAGGGUAUGGCUGUUCGCCAUUUAAAGAGGUACGUGAGCUGGGUUUAAAACGUCGUGAGACAGUUUGGUCCCUAUCUGCCGUGGGCGCUGGAUAUUUGAAGGGGGCUGCUCCUAGUACGAGAGGACCGGAGUGGACGAACCUCUGGUGUACCGGUUGUCACGCCAGUGGCAUCGCCGGGUAGCUAUGUUCGGAAGAGAUAACCGCUGAAAGCAUCUAAGCGGGAAACUCGCCUUAAGAUGAGAUAUCCCCGGGGCUUCGAGCCCCUUGAAGGGUCGUUCAAGACCAGGACGUUGAUAGGUCAGGUGUGUAAGCGCAGUAAUGUGCUCAGCUAACUGAUACUAAUUGCCCGUAAGGCUUGAUCCU